UACGUAGGGGGCAAGCGUUGUCCGGAAUUAUUGGGCGUAAAGAGCGUGUCGGCGGUCCGGUAAGUCAGCUGUGAAAGUCAAGGGCUCAACCCUUGAAUGCCGGUUGAUACUGUCGGGCUAGAGUCCGGAAGAGGCGAGUGGAAUUCCCGGUGUAGCGGUGAAAUGCGCAGAUAUCGGGAGGAACACCAAUGGCGAAGGCAGCUCUCUGGGACGGUACUGACGCUGAGACGCGAAAGCGUGGGGAGCGAACAGG
rnacentral:rRNA from 1 species